rnacentral:rRNA from 1 species
GAAUCUGCCUUCAGGUUCGGGACAACCACUGGAAACGGUGGCUAAUACCGAAUGUGCCGCAACGUGAAAGAUUUAUCGCCUGAAGAUGAGCUCGCGUCCGAUUAGCUAGUUGGUGAGGUAAAAGCUCACCAAGGCGACGAUCGGUAGCUGGUCUGAGAGGAUGACCAGCCACACUGGGACUGAGACACGGCCCAGACUCCUACGGGAGGCAGCAGUGGGGAAUUUUCCGCAAUGGGCGAAAGCCUGACGGAGCAAUACCGCGUGAGGGAGGAAGGCUCUUGGGUUGUAAACCUCUUUUCUCAGGGAAGAAUGAUGACGGUACCUGAGGAAUAAGCAUCGGCUAACUCCGUGCCAGCAGCCGCGGUAAUACGGAGGAUGCAAGCGUUAUCCGGAAUGAUUGGGCGUAAAGCGUCCGCAGGUGGCAAUGUAAGUCUGCUGUCAAAGCGUCUGGCUCAACCAGAUAAAGGCAGUGGAAACUACAUAGCUAGAGUAAGGUAGGGGUAGAGGGAAUUCCUGGUGUAGCGGUGAAAUGCGUAGAGAUCAGGAAGAACACCGGUGGCGAAAGCGCUCUGCUGGACCUUAACUGACACUGAGGGACGAAAGCUAGGGGAGCG